CUAUACACAACUUACUAGAUUGUUCAUCUGCCUUAGUUUGACCUUAUUAGGCUUACUAGGCAUUCCAUAAAAUAUGUGUGCACUGAAUAGAAUUAUACUGGUUUGCAGGGCUCUAUUUAGUUGAUUCUCACUCUUCUUGCUUUGCUAAGCAUGUUUGCAUUCACCGUCAUGAAGAAGCACUGCUUUCUCUAUAUUGGUGGUGCUUUUAUAAUCUCUGUUGGAUUAUAUAUGGGUUAUCACCGCACAAAAGUUAGAAAUAAGUUCAAUAUCAGGUGCUGAAGUUGUUUUCCUUCAUUAUAAUUUGUCAUACGGGCAAAAAUGUUUUACUUCAAUACAUUCUCAUUGCUUGACCCAAAUAUGAGAUUAACCCCAUUACGAGCAACAGAGAUUUCAAAGAAGCUCAGAGUUGUCUUUUAUGAUCUAAACCUCCUAUCUCCACUAUGGGAAUCGGGUGAAAAAGCCAAGACAUUCGUGCAACAAGCAUGGAAUCUUGCAGAUAUCAUAGAGGUCACAGAGUUAAAGUUUCUAUGUGGAAUAGAACCAUCCGAGAGGUUUGACAGCAAGGAUAAUGACAGGUCUAAGUUCACUCACUAUCCACCGGAAGUAAUUGCUCCACUUUGGCGCUCCACUUCGUUUCUUUAGAAGCUUGCUCAUUAGAGACGGUGGAGUCUGCUCUCUUAUAUUUUUGUGUCUUUUGAGUAAUACCUGUAAUAUUUAUCCAAUUGGUAACUUGACAUCGUUGCCAUGUAUAACAGAGAUAUAUUUACUUAACUUUGGAUCAAUAGAUAGCAGUAAGGUAGAGGAAAUCUACAUUGGGGUAUGAAGGGUGCUAGCCUCAAAGUAAAAUCAAAGAAUCACUAUAAAGUUGUGCUCUAU